rnacentral:rRNA from 1 species
UGAGUAACCUGCCCUUAACUCUGGGAUAAGCCUGGGAAACUGGGUCUAAUACCGGAUAUGACUCCUCAUCGCAUGGGUGGGGGGUGGAAAGCUUUUUGUGGUUUUGGAUGGACUCGCGGCCUAUCAGCUUGUUGGUGAGGUAAUGGCUUACCAAGGCGACGACGGGUAGCCGGCCUGAGAGGGUGACCGGCCACACUGGGACUGAGACACGGCCCAGACUCCGUACGGGAGCAG